UAUUGGCCUUUUCCUUGUCCCAAAUUAAUCUCAAGUAUAUAAACGAUGUUGGAAUUCCACUAGGUAUACCGUACACGUCUAAUAACUUCCAACAUAGUAUAUGGUUAGUUAUUUGGUUCACGCAAAGGUGUUCUUGAAUCAAAUGGAAAAGCUUGAAUUUUUCACUUGUACUCAAUGCUCUCUUCAUUGUUUCAUCAAUAAGAUUGUUGUUAAUGCUAUAUAUUAACCUAUCUAUAUAUGAAUAAUCUGACUCAUAUAUAAUGCCGGCCUGUUCAAGUUAAUAGCUGAAAACAAUUAGCUAACUAGGUUACUGCGCGCAUGUAGUGCUUGAGUCAUGAUGCAUUAGCCAUGCAUAAUUGAUCAUCAAACUGUAAAUUGUAAGUGACCUCUUCCACUUUGCUUUAGUGCUAAUCACAACUUACGUAAAUGGUUCAAUCGCA
rnacentral:lncRNA from 1 species